GGUCCGAUGGUGUAGUUGGUUAUCACACUCGCUUCACAAACGUCUCCCCAGGAACCUCCAUGGGGUGGCAUACAGAUGCGUUCGCGAGAGGUCAUGAGUUCGAGCCUCGUUCGGAUCA